CCCUCUGGGUCCACCUCCCACCCAUGUUUAUUGUACCUUGUUGCUUCGGCGGGCCCGCCUCACGGCCGCCGGGGGGCUUCUGCCCUCUGGCCCGCGCCCGCCGAAGACACCAUUGAACACUGUCUGAAGAUUGCAGUCUGAGCAACUAGCUAUCUAAGUUAAAUCUUUCAACCACCGAUCUCUUGUUUCCGGCAUCGAUGAAGAACGCAGCGAAAUGCGAUACGUAAUGUGAAUUGCAGAAUUCAGUGAAUCAUCGAAUCUUUGAACGCACAUUGCGCCCCUUGGUAUUCCGGGGGGCAUGCCUGUCCGAGCGUCAUUGCUGCCCUCAAGCACGGCUUGUGUGUUGGGCCCCGUCCUCCUUCCCGGGGGACGGGCCCGAAAGGCAGCGGCGGCACCGCGUCCGGUCCUCGAGCGUAUGGGGCUUUGUCACCCGCUCUUGUAGGCCCGGCCGGCGCUUGCCGACAACCAUCAAUCUUUUUUCAGGUUGACCUCGGAUCAGGUAGGGAUACCCGCUGAACUUAAGCAUAUCAAUAAGCGGAGGAAAAGAAACCAACAGGGAUUGCCUCAGUAACGGCGAGUGAAGCGGCAAGAGCUCAAAUUUGAAAGCUGGCCCCCUCGGGGUCCGCAUUGUAAUUUGCAGAGGAUGCUUCGGGAGUGGCCCCCAUCUAAGUGCUCUGGAACGGGCCGUCAUAGAGGGUGAGAAUCCCGUAUGGGAUGGGGUGUCCGCGACCAUGUGAAGCUCCUUCGACGAGUCGAGUUGUUUGGGAAUGCAGCUCUAAAUGGGUGGUAAAUUUCAUCUAAAGAUAAAUAUUGGCCGGAGACCGAUAGCGCACAAGUAGAGUGAUCGAAAGAAGAAAAGCACUUUGAAAAGAGAGUUAAAAAGCACGUGAAAUUGUUGAAAGGGAAGCGCUUGCGACCAGACUUGCCUACGGGGGUCAACCGGUAUUUGUACCGGUGUAGUUCCCCGUGGGCGGGCCAGCGUCGGUUUGGGCGGCCGGUCAAAAGCCCUCGGAAAGUAACGCCUCUCGGGGCGUGUUAUARCCGAGGGUGCC
rnacentral:rRNA from 1 species